rnacentral:rRNA from 1 species
AUUGAACGCUGGCGGCCGGCUUAACACAUGCAAGUCCAACGAGUGGCGGACGGGUGAGUGAUGCUUGGGAAUCUAGCUUAUGGAGGGGGAUAACUACGGGAAACUGUAGCUAAUACCGCGUACCCUAGGAUGUGCCCAAGUGGGAUUAGGUGGUUGGUGAGGUAAAGGAUCACCAAGCAGACGAUCUCUCGCUGGUCUGAGAGGCAGACCAGGCAAGCUGGGACUGAGACACGGCACAGACUCCUACGGGAGGCAGCAGUGGGGAAUAUUGCGCAAUGGGGGCAACCUGAAGUAGCCAUGCCGCGUGAAUGAAGAAGGCCUUCGGGUUGUAAAGUUCUUUCGGUAGCGAGGCGUUGACUACAGAAGAAGCACCGGCGCACUCCGUGCCAGCAGCCGCGGUAAUAC